CCUACGGGAGGCAGCAGUGAGGAAUAUUGGUCAAUGGACGAGAGUCUGAACCAGCCAAGUAGCGUGAAGGAUGACUGCCCUAUGGGUUGUAAACUUCUUUUAUAUGGGAAUAAAAUGUUCCACGUGUGGGAUUUUGUAUGUACCAUAUGAAUAAGGAUCGGCUAACUCCGUGCCAGCAGCCGCGGUAAUACGGAGGAUCCGAGCGUUAUCCGGAUUUAUUGGGUUUAAAGGGAGCGUAGGUGGAUUGUUAAGUCAGUUGUGAAAGUUUGCGGCUCAACCGUAAAAUUGCAGUCGAAACUGGCAGUCUUGAGUACAGUAGAGGUGGGCGGAAUUCGUGGUGUAGCGGUGAAAUGCUUAGAUAUCACGAAGAACUCCGAUUGCGAAGGCAGUUCACUGGACUGCAACUGACACUGAGGCUCGAAAGUGUGGGUAUCAAACAGGAUUAGAUACCCGAGUAGUC
rnacentral:rRNA from 1 species